UGGGGAAUAUUGCGCAAUGGGCGAAAGCCUGACGCAGCGACGCCGCGGGAGGGAUGAAGGUUUUCGGAUCGUAAACCCCUGUCAGAAGGGAAGAAACCGCACUGUGCUAAUCAGCAGUGCCUUGACGGUACCUUCAAAGGAAGCACCGGCUAACUCCGUGCCAGCAGCCGCGGUAAUACGGAGGGUGCAAGCGUUAAUCGGAAUUACUGGGCGUAAAGCGCACGUAGGCUGCUUUGUAAGUCAGGGGUGAAAUCCCACGGCUCAACCGUGGAACUGCCUUUGAUACUGCUUAGCUUGAAUCCGGGAGAGGGUGGCGGAAUUCCAGGUGUAGGAGUGAAAUCCGUAGAUAUCUGGAGGAACAUCAGUGGCGAAGGCGGCCACCUGGACCGGUAUUGACGCUGAGGUGCGAAAGCGUGGGGAGCAAACAGG
rnacentral:rRNA from 1 species